AUAAACUGUAGAUUGUGACUUCCGCCCUACCUAGCUGGAAAACCCCAUGUAUAUUGACAAUUUCCUGUUCCUCGGAAGGGAACCAAGAUUUGACUGGUUGGUUUUGGAGUGGGACAUUUGACACUAUAUCGGUAAGGAUUGGCUCAAAGAGAAAAGCCUACAAAAGCUUUGUGCUGUAUUUGAAGGUGGGUCGUCCACUGUCUUCACAUUCGGCAGCAUGGCGGCCUUUUGGAGAUCGGCAAGUCAGCUGUCAAAUCAGACAUCUUUGACAAAAACUGCAGAGGAGGAAAACCGAGUCAUACUCUACCCACCUCAGGUAUGAAAGACAUUUUUUUUGUCAGAUGUACUGUUAGAAAACUCAUUUUAGUGUUUUGCUGAUCUGCUGACCAGUGGUAUUGCAUCAUUUGAGCCUUUGCAAAAGCACUGCAUGGCUUCUCUUAGUGGGCGAUGAACUUGCUGUUUUGUUUGUUUACAUAGAGGAUAUUACAUGAACAUGGCCACGUGGAGAUAUAAAAUUUCUCUUGGAGUGAAAUAUUUUUCAAGACAAGAAGAGAAAUUGUGUAUCUCCAAGUGGCCAUGUAAUGUUCACCUGGUAUUUAAUUGUUUUUUGUAUAAUAAAGUAAUAAAUUACAUGUAGGAUGCAAGCAUGAUGAACAUGUCAAGUUUUGAAUCAAAUUUUACCUUCUGGUAGUAACGAUGGGUAACGUAGUAAGUGUACAUUCUCCUCUCAGUUUCCUAAGUUGAUAUUAAUUACUGACUUCUUUUCACAAUGUUAUCUUAAAUUCAAGCAAGCAGGUGGUGAAGACAAACUAAGACUUUGUUGAUGUCUUGGUAAAACCAUGUUUCUGUAAAGAGAAUUGCUGAAAUUAAACAAUUAGUAAUACCUCAGACAAGGGAAUUUACAGUAUAGAAGGAAUUGCAGUAUAUAAAUGCUAAAGCUGACUUU